GCUGAAAUAGCUCAGUUGGUAGAGUGUUAGCCUGAAGAUCUAAAGGUCCCUGGUUCAAUCCCAGGGUUCAGCA